rnacentral:rRNA from 1 species
GGUGGAACCUACCUAUAAGACUGGGAUAACUCCGGGAAACCGGGGCUAAUACCGGAUAANACAUGAAACCGCAUGGUUUCAUGAUGAAAGACGGUUUUGCUGUCACUUAUAGAUGGACCCGCGGCGUAUUAGCUAGUUGGUAAGGUAACGGCUUACCAAGGCAACGAUACGUAGCCGACCUGAGAGGGUGAUCGGCCACACUGGAACUGAGACACGGUCCAGACUCCUACGGGAGGCAGCAGCC